rnacentral:rRNA from 1 species
AUUCAACGGAGAGUUUGAUCCUGGCUCAGGACGAACGCUGGCGGCGUGCUUAACACAUGCAAGUUGAGCGAGGAUGAU